rnacentral:snoRNA from 1 species
UACCUCAGGGUGCUUACCACUGGCUGUGUUUUUAUACUGACUGCAUAGAAAGAGGAGGUAAAGUAAACCUAUCCCAUAUAUACCUCAGCCCAGGCCCUGUGCCUGACCUGUAUUGUGAGUGGGGAGACAUGG